rnacentral:rRNA from 1 species
UACGUAGGGUCCGAGCGUUGUCCGGAAUUAUUGGGCGUAAAGAGCUCGUAGGCGGUUUGUCGCGUCUGCUGUGAAAUCCCGAGGCUCAACCUCGGGUCUGCAGUGGGUACGGGCAGACUGGAGUGCGGUAGGGGAGAAUGGAAUUCCUGGUGUAGCGGUGGAAUGCGCAGAUAUCAGGAGGAACACCGGUGGCGAAGGCGGUUCUCUGGGCCUGUACUGACGCUGAGGAGCGAAAGCGUGGGGAGCGAACAGG